AUGGACAUCACCUCUGAUGUCCUGUCCUUCCCUCACCCCGCAGGUCAGCCCAAGUCGGCGCCCUCGGUCACUCUGUUCCCGCCCUCCUCUGAGGAGCUCAGCGCCAACAAGGCCACACUGGUGUGUCUCAUCAGUGACUUCUACCCCGGCGGCGUGACUGUGGCCUGGAAGGCAGACGGCAGCGUCAUCAGCCAGGGCGUGGAGACCACCAAGCCCUCGAAACAGAGCAACAACAAGUACGCGGCCAGCAGCUACCUGAGCCUGACGGCCGAGAAGUGGAAAGCUGCAAACAGAUUCAGCUGCCAGGUCACGCACGAUGGGAGCACUGUGGAGAAGACAGUGGAACCCUCAGCAUGUUCCUAGGAUGCUGAUCACCCCCACCCUCGGGGAACUGGAGCCCCGGGACCCCGGGGGGAACACCCGUCCCAAACCUCAGCCGACCUCCUUCCUGCACCCAAUUAACUCUCAAUAAAAUGUCCUCAUUGUCAAUCAGA